rnacentral:rRNA from 1 species
AUACGGAGGGUGCGAGCGUUAAUCGGAAUUACUGGGCGUAAAGCGUACGUAGGCGGUUUGCUAAGUCAGAUGUGAAAGCCCCGGGCUUAACCUGGGAACUGCAUUUGAUACUGGCAGACUAGAGUAUGAUAGAGGGGGGUAGAAUUCCUGGUGUAGCGGUGAAGUGCGUAGAUAUCAGGAGGAAUACCAGUGGCGAAGGCGGCCCCCUGGAUCAAUACUGACGCUGAGGUACGAAAGCGUGGGGAGCGAACAGGAUUAGAAACCCCAGUAGUCC